UAGAGUUUGAUCCUGGCUCAGGACGAACGCUGGCGGCGCGCCUAACACAUGCAAGUCGAACGAGAAUCAGCUGAUGAAGUUUUCGGAUGGAUUUGGUUGAGGAAAGUGGCGGACGGGCGAGUAACGCGUGAGCAACCAACCUCGUACUGGGGGAUAACGUCGGGAAACCGGCGCUAAUACCGCAUGACAUUACGGGAUCGCAUGGUCUUGUAAUCAAAGCUCCGGCGGUGCGAGACGGGCUCGCGUCCAAUUAGCUAGUUGGUGAGGUAACGGCUCACCAAGGCGACGAUUGGUAGCCGAACUGAGAGGUUGAUCGGCCGCAUUGGGACUGAGACACGGCCCAGACUCCUACGGGAGGCAGCAGUGGGGAAUCUUGCGCAAUGGGGGAAACCCUGACGCAGCGACGCCGCGUGAAGGAAGAAGGCCUUCGGGUUGUAAACUUCUUUGGUCGGGGAAGAAAGAGACGGUACCCGAGGAACAAGCCACGGCUAACUACGUGCCAGCAGCCGCGGUAAUACGUAGGUGGCGAGCGUUGUCCGGAAUUACUGGGCGUAAAGGGCGUGUAGGCGGGGGUACAAGUCAGGUGUGAAAUACCGCGGCUCAACUGCGGGGGUGCAUCUGAAACUGUACUUCUUGAGUGUCGGAGAGGAAAGCGGAAUUCCCAGUGUAGCGGUGAAAUGCGUAGAGAUUGGGAGGAACACCAGUGGCGAAGGCGGCUUUCUGGACGACAACUGACGC
rnacentral:rRNA from 1 species